rnacentral:lncRNA from 1 species
UGUUCUUUCUGUGAACUGUGCUCUGUUUAUUUGGCUCCCAUGUAAUAAAAUUACAAACUCUGUGUACACGUUCAUAUUUUGGAAGAUGAGAAAGAGAGCCACUCACUGUCUGUGGAAGGAGUAAUGUUCAAAUAGGAAUGUGUAUACUCCCAAGUGCUGAUCAACUGAAAGAAAAUCCAGGGACACAGAGGAGACAAAAGAGG